rnacentral:rRNA from 1 species
UGGGGAAUUUUGGACAAUGGGGGAAACCCUGAUCCAGCCAUCCCGCGUGUGCGAUGAAGGCCUUCGGGUUGUAAAGCACUUUUGGCAGGAAAGAAACGUCAUGGGUUAAUACCCCGUGAAACUGACGGUACCUGCAGAAUAAGCACCGGCUAACUACGUGCCAGCAGCCGCGGUAAUACGUAGGGUGCAAGCGUUAAUCGGAAUUACUGGGCGUAAAGCGUGCGCAGGCGGUUCGGAAAGAAAGAUGUGAAAUCCCAGAGCUCAACUUUGGAACUGCAUUUUUAACUACCGGGCUAGAGUGUGGCAGAGGGAGGUGGAAUUCCGCGUGUAGCAGUGAAAUGCGUAGAUAUGCGGAGGAACAACGAUGGCGAAGGCAGCCUCAUGGGAUAACACUGACGCUCAUGCACGAAAGCGUGGGGAGCAAACAGG